ensembl:snRNA U6 U6 spliceosomal RNA
UUGCUUUGGCAGCACAUAUACUAAAAUCAGAACAAUACAGAGAAGAUUAGUAUGGCCCCUGGGCAAAGAUGACAUGCAAAUUUGUGAAGUGUUCUAUAUUUUU